rnacentral:rRNA from 1 species
AGCGAACGCUGGCGGCAGGCCUAACACAUGCAAGUCGGACGAAGUCUUCGGACUUAGUGGCGGACGGGUGAGUAACACGUGGGAACGUGCCUUUAGGUUCGGAAUAACUCAGGGAAACUUGUGCUAAUACCGAAUGUGCCCUUCGGGGGAAAGAUUUCUCGCCUUUAGAGCGGCCCGCGUCUGAUUAGCUAGUUGGUGGGGUAAUGGCCCACCAAGGCUACGAUCAGUAGCUGGUCUGAGAGGAUGACCAGCCACAUUGGGACUGAGACACGGCCCAAACUCCUACGGGAGGCAGCAGUGGGGAAUCUUGCGCAAUGGGCGAAAGCCUGACGCAGCCAUGCCGCGUGAAUGAUGAAGGUCUUAGGAUUGUAAAAUUCUUUCACCGGGGACGAUAAUGACGGUACCCGGAGAAGAAGCCCCGGCUAACUUCGUGCCAGCCGCCGCUGUAAGAC